CCUUUAUCUACUGACCCAGAGUCAGAUGAAGCCCUUUAUCUACUGACCCAGAGUCAGAUGAAGCCCUUUAUCUACUGACCCAGAGUCAGAUGAGGCCCUUUAUCUACUGACCCAGAGUCAGAUGAAGCCCUUUAUCUACUGACCCAGAGUCAGAUGAGGCCCUUUAUCUACUGACACAGAGUCAGCUGAAGCCCUUUAUCUACUGACCCAGAGUCAGAUGAAGCCCUUUAUCUACUGACCCAGAGUCAGAUGAGGUCCUUUAUCUACUGACCCAGAGUCAGAUGAGGUCCUUUAUCUACUGACACAGAGUCAGAUGAAGCCCUUUAUCUACUGACCCAGAGUCAGAUGAAGCCCUUUAUCUACUGACCCAGAGUCAGAUGAGGCCCUUUAUCUACUGACACAGAGUCAGAUGAAGCCCUUUAUCUACUGACCCAGAGUCAGAUGAAGCCCUUUAUCUAUUGACCCAGAGUCAGAUGAGGCCCUUUAUCUACUGACCCAGAGUCAGAUGAGGUCCUUUAUCUACUGACCCAGAGUCAGAUGAGGUCCUUUAUCUACUGACCCAGAGUCAGAUGAGGUCCUUUAUCUACUGACACAGAGUCAGAUGAGGCCCUUUAUCUACUGACCCAGAGUCAGAUGAGGUCCUUUAUCUACUGACCCAGAGUCAGAUGAGGUCCUUUAUCUACUGACCCAGAGUCAGAUGAGGUCCUUUAUCUACUGACCCAGAGUCAGAUGAGGUCCUUUAUCUACUGACCCAGAGUCAGAUGGUCUCCUUUAUCUACUGACCCAGAGUCAGAUGAGGUCCUUUAUCUACUGACCCAGAGUCAGAUGAGGUCCUUUAUCUACUGACCCAGAGUCAGAUGAGGUCCUUUAUCUACUGACCCAGAGUCAGAUGAGGUCCUUUAUCUACUGACCCAGAGUCAGAUGGUCUCCUUUAUCUACUGACCCAGAGUCAGAUGAGGUCCUUUAUCUACUGACCCAGAGUCAGAUGAGGUCCUUUAUCUACUGACCCAGAGUCAGAUGGUCUCCUUUAUCUACUGACCCAGAGUCAGAUGAGGUCCUUUAUCUACUGACCCAGAGUCAGAUGAGGUCCUUUAUCUACUGACCCAGAGUCAGAUGAGGCCCUUUAAUCUACUGACCCAGAGUCAGAUGAAGCCCUUUAUCUACUGACCCAGAGUUAGAUGAAGCCAUUUAUCUACUGAC